UACGAAGGGGGCUAGCGUUGUUCGGCUUUACUGGGCGUAAAGCGCACGUAGGCGGAUCGUUAAGUCGGGGGUGAAAUCCUGGAGCUCAACUCCAGAACUGCCUUCGAUACUGGCGAUCUCGAGUCCGGAAGAGGUGAGUGGAACUCCUAGUGUAGAGGUGGAAUUCGUAGAUAUUAGGAAGAACACCAGUGGCGAAGGCGGCUCACUGGUCCGGUACUGACGCUGAGGUGCGAAAGCGUGGGGAGCAAACAGG
rnacentral:rRNA from 1 species